CAACGACGGACACAGGCGAGGGACAAACUACACUUCAAUAAAAUACCGUUAGCGCUCAGGUGAGAGAGCUCCAUGGGCCUGUACAAUGAAGCUAGUUGGCUAGACAGUCAAUGGUUACUGAAAGAAAAGCUGACCUCUGGACAGUCCUCUGUUCAUCAGCAUCCACGCUUGCUUACAUACUGAACAAAAUAUGAUCAAGAGUUCAAUGUGUUUCAUCUAUGUGAGUGUCAGCCUGUGACUUGCGAAGACUUCCUCAUUCGGUUCAACAGCUCACAGGUCAUCAUCAGAGUAAGAGCCAUGGGAGCUGUAACUCAGCUCUGAGCUGUGCUGCAGGAAGUCUGAGGGAUGAGAAAGACUCACACCUACAUUAAUAGAUUUUCGAAAAUCUUCCUCUUCUUCUUCAUCAUCAUCAUCUUCUUCAUCUGCGUCCAGAUCCUCAU